GGCCACAUUACGUUAAAACACCGGAUCCCAUACGAUCACCGAAAUUAAGCAACGUCACGCUCGGUCAAUAUCUAGAUGGGUGACUGCUUGAAAAUACUAAGUGCUGUAAG